rnacentral:rRNA from 1 species
GAAGAAAAGAACAGAGAAAAGGAAUAG